rnacentral:miRNA from 1 species
ACAAUGCUGUGCACCUAGUAGGUGCUCAGUAAAUGUCUGAUGAGGUAUUGAGUCCAUAAGCCAAGACUAUCCAUCCUGCCAGUGC